AUACGUAGGGGGCGAGCGUUGUCCGGAAUGAUUGGGCGUAAAGGGCGCGUAGGCGGCCUGUUAAGUCUGGAGUGAAAGUCCUGUUUUCAAGAUGGGAAUUGCUUUGGAUACUGAUGGGCUUGAGUGCAGGAGAGGUUAUCGGAAUUCCCGGUGUAGCGGUGAAAUGCGUAGAGAUCGGGAGGAACACCAGUGGCGAAGGCGGGUCUCUGGGCAGUAACUGACGCUGAGGAGCGAAAGCAUGGGUAGCGAACAGGAUUAGAUACCCUGGUAGUCCAUGCCGUAAACGAUGAAUGCUGGGUGUAGGGGGUAUCGACCCCUUCUGUGCCGCAGUCAACACAAUAAGCAUUCCGCCUGGGGAGUACGGCCGCAAGGUUGAAACUCAAAUGAAUUGACGGGG
rnacentral:rRNA from 1 species